AGAUGUGAAUGUAUUUGCUGUUAUGUAUGUCACCAAGGCAGAUUUGGUUGAUUUGACUAGGCGGGUGUCCCCUCCUUCCCUCGCUGUGCUCUUCCUGCCCCUCUCAAAGCUGUGUGCUGGGUCAAAGGGGAAGAUGUCUUUAGUUGAGGAUAUAGGAGGAACUGUUCCCCUGCUAGAACCUCCUAAAGCACAGCACACAAUGGAUUAGCCUGUGGGAAACAUUGUCUAUUCAAACCUCAACAAGGCCGCAGGAGUCCAUGGCACAGCCUGGCUUCU
rnacentral:snRNA from 1 species